rnacentral:rRNA from 1 species
CCUACGGGUGGCUGCAGUGGGGAAUAUUGCGCAAUGGGCGAAAGCCUGACGCAGCGACGCCGCGUGAGGGACGACGGCCUUCGGGUUGUAAACCUCUUUCAGCUCUGACGAAGCGAGAGUGACGGUAGGAGCAGAAGAAGCACCGGCCAACUACGUGCCAGCAGCCGCGGUAAUACGUAGGGUGCAAGCGUUGUCCGGAAUUAUUGGGCGUAAAGAGCUCGUAGGCGGUCUGUCGCGUCGAAUGUGAAAACCCGGGACUCAACUCCGGGACUGCAUUCGAGACGGGCAGACUAGAGUUCGGUAGGGGAGACUGGAAUUCCUGGUGUAGCGGUGAAAUGCGCAGAUAUCAGGAGGAACACCGGUGGCGAAGGCGGGUCUCUGGGCCGAUACUGACGCUGAGGAGCGAAAGCGUGGGGAGCGAACAGGAUUAGAUACCCGUGUAGUC